UACGUAGGGUGCGAGCGUUAAUCGGAAUUACUGGGCGUAAAGCGUGCGCAGGCGGUGAGUUAAGUCUGAUGUGAAAGCCCUGGGCUCAACCUGGGAACGGCAUUGGAAACUGGCUUACUAGAGUGCGGUAGAGGGGUGUGGAAUUCCCGGUGUAGCAGUGAAAUGCGUAGAUAUCGGGAGGAACAUCUGUGGCGAAGGCGACACCCUGGACCAGCACUGACACUGAGGCACGAAAGCGUGGGAAGCAAACAGG
rnacentral:rRNA from 1 species